UACGUAGGGGGCGAGCGUUGUCCGGAAUUACUGGGCGUAAAGCGUGCGCAGGCGGCUAUGCAAGACAGAUGUGAAAUCCCCGGGCUCAACCUGGGAACUGCAUUUGUGACUGCAUGGCUAGAGUACGGUAGAGGGGGAUGGAAUUCCGCGUGUAGCAGUGAAAUGCGUAGAUAUGCGGAGGAACACCGAUGGCGAAGGCAAUCCCCUGGACCUGUACUGACGCUCAUGCACGAAAGCGUGGGGAGCAAACAGG
rnacentral:rRNA from 1 species